CCACUGAUGUGGCAGGGGUAGUUUGGUAAUUUCACGUGUUAGGGAUAGUUUGGUAGUUUUCACAAUCUCUUCCUCUUCUCUGUUCGCAGAUCCGUUCUGUCUCCAUCUCAAUCCCACUCUUCCAUCUCUCUCACACAACCGGACCUCUCUCUUUCUCCCUCAACCAACACAUGUUCUCAACUCACCCCAUGUCUCCUUCCCUAGUCUCCUCCCACUGCUCCGUCCCCUUUCAGCCACCGUCAAGUCACAGUAACCGUCGGCACACAGUCACCGUCGCGUCAGAGUCUCAAUCGCGACCUUGCUCCCUCGCUCAAAUCGUUGGAAAUCUCUGUCACAAUCCAGUCGAAAAUUGAAUCUCUCUGUUGAAGGAUAACUAAAAUCCAUCCAUCCAACUUUAUAUUGAAAUCAAUGACUAUCAUGCAAGUCUCUACCGAAAGUACAUGCUUUGAGUUUCUAUGGAAAUUUCCACUAGCAAUUGAAAUGUGUGAUGUUAGUAAUCUAGAAUUUAUCAUCUGCUUGGCUUUAAUAAGAUGCUUUAGCUUGUUGCAUAGAUGUUUGACUUUAAAAAUUGCUUAUUGAAAUACUUGUAUGUUUGAUAAAAACUGGCCAUUUGUUUAUUGGAUAUUUUGUUGUAUUAGCGUGGAAGAAACCCAAGACAGAGCACAAGCCUUGCCAUUGCAUAUCAAUUUUAUUACACAACAAUUGAAACUCAUCUUGCUUGAUGUUCUGAUAUUUAUGUAAUGGAUAGAGGCCUUGAGUGGUGGAAUUGGUUGGAAGAGUGAAAUGGCUAGUCCAUCUUUCUGUGUGUUUGAAUUAUAGUGUAUUAGUGUAUUGAUUUGGGACAGAUAAAUAACAUGGACUGAGACUGCUCGAAGAUCCAUUUUAUGAGCAGAUGGUUGUUGAGUUUUCCAAGUACCAAAUCUAAGUAAAUAUGUAUGCAUUCAGUGAUAAGGACACUGACAUAGCCUCCUUAGGAACUCUGGCAAAGUACACUGCUGGUCAAGUGUAUUACUAUCCAGCUUUCCAAUUAGCCAUUCAUGGGGAGAAAUUGAGUCAUGAAUUAAGGAGAAACCUCACAAGAGAGACUACAUGGGAAGCAUGGAUCAUAUGCAUUGCAGAGAUACUUAGUAACUAGUUAUCUAUGCUGGAUUGAUGGAGUUUCUCGGUGAUUAAUGAUGAUCUAGCUGUCUACAAGGCCAAAUAAAUUUGCAAAGCAUGGAUCACAAAUGGAAUAACACCUAUGUUUUUUCUGAGCAUGAGGAUUUAAUUUCUUGUAGAUAAUAUGCAUUGCUACAGUUAAUUUGAAAUGUUGUUAGGUGUUUCUAUAGAAUUGGUUUAUGCAAGGUAGAGGUUGAAGUAGCUUUGCAAACAAUGGUGUUAGUUUAAGUAUUUGUCUUGUGGUAUUUUAGCAUUACAUGUGUGCUAGAGGUUACUUCUAUAUGGUGUAUUAGCAUACUUGUAACCAUGUAUUAUUAGCUCAAAUUAAGAGCUUGUUUAAUGACAUACUUAGUAAACAGUCUCAAUCCGUAAA